AUGAUGAUUUAGAUUUAUUGUUUAUGGUUUACACCGAACACAAAAUGUGGAUGCUAUUCUAGGGCGGUCUGAUAUU